rnacentral:misc_RNA from 1 species
GCUCAACUCACAGAGUUCGUCUUCGGAUAAUCUAGUUUCCAAAGAGAGAAAAAAGAGUUAUUUAUUUAUAAAUUGCUAUGGUGCUUGAGCUGUGCUAAAGUUUAUUCCGUUGCAUGGUAGAUUUUGUGAUCUAAGAAAGAUGUCCGUUUUCUUUGUGAAUGCAAAUCAAGACAGCGAAGUUGAAGGAGAUUCAAAUGGAGACCUGCAAAUUGCAUCACCUGGGAACUCGGAGGCCCAACAAGCGUUGGCAUCAUUUUGGCCGAAAGUCAUGGAAGAAAUUAAAAAGAUUACCACAAUGGAUUUGAAAACCCAAUCGUUACCACUAGCAAGGAUAAAGAAAAUUAUGAAAUUGGACGGUGACGUUAAAAUGAUCAGUGCCGAAGCACCGAUGUUAUUUUCGAAAGCAGCCGAGAUUUUUAUUCACGAAUUAACGCUGAGAGCUUGGGUUCAUACGGAAGACAAUAAAAGGCGCACCCUUCAAAGAAAUGAUAUAGCAAUGGCAAUAACAAAAUACGAUCAGUUUGAUUUCUUAAUUGAUAUUGUCCCAAGGGACGAACUGAAACAGACGAAGGCACAGUCAGAUGGUACGUCGAGAUCUCCAAUGAAUACGGAUCAGGUUCAUUAUUAUUUUCAACUGGCACAGCAGCAAGCUUCGGCCAAUCAAACUGUACAAAAUAAUAGUACACCUUCCCAGCCAAUACAAAUUGUACAACCUUCUACCGGACAAAUACAAACUAUUAAUAUUGGAAGCCCUAACGAACAGGAAACCUCCAAUGCAGGAGCCACUCAAACAGUAACAGUACAAAGCCCACAGCAGGCAUCGGGUCAGCAAGUUAUUCAACUCCAGCAAGCCCAGCAAUCCCCCGCUUCCCAAGCUGGUGGUAUACAAAUCGUGCAACAAAUUGUGACCCCUAACGGAGAGAUACAACAAAUACCUAUACAAUUAACGCCACAACAGCUUCAAAUGAUUCGUAUGCAAGUGCAAGGAGGAAGCAAUCAACCGAUCAUAAUUCAGGCCGCACCGAUCCAAGCACAACCACAAUUGAUCCAGGUUGCCCAGGGUGGUCAGACUCCAGUGUUUCUACAAACCAGCAGUAACGAUAACGAAUAAUUUAGACCGACUAGAGUGACGAAUGCGAAAGCCUCUCUGCAAGCAUGAAUGAGAAUACUACGUCUAAGACUAUACGACCAGGUCUCCUACGUUCUGAAAUUAAUCCCGACAUCCUGGUCGUUGUCACGUCACAAGUGCAUCGACGAAUCAGGCUCUCGGGCUUCUCAUCCCUCCGGAGAAGACUCCAAACUGUCUCCGGUGGAGAGACGUGGCCAGUGUAUCGUCAUUGAAGCGAAGUGAAGUGAACUGAAGUGAGGUAAAGUGAAGAAUAAAGAUAAGCGGCCAACGCAAGAUGUAAUCUGAUUCGUGCGUCGCGUUCUUCGGCCGCUGGUUGCUUCGCAUGGCUGAGCUCGGGGCUGGCUGGUGCAACUUGUAUUAUGUUUCACGUAGCUGCGGUUCUUGUCUGGCGAGUCCCGGUCCCCGAGCCUUCAACAGCUUCGAAAUCUCGAACAAUAAUUAUGCCUCGAGAUUUUACUAGACGCAGGCGACCUGGACGUGGAACUCCAUGGGUCACCUGCUUCACUCCAGGGCACCCCGUAGAAUAACGCGCAAUAAUUGCACCGUCCUGUGGCCAUAACUUAAAUCCACAUCCAGUGCUCAUCCCAAUGUUACAAGAGUAUCUAACCAUCAUUAAAAUCCAAAAGUGUUUGCUGACAAUUUCCAGUACAGGCAGGAAAUUUUUAGUUAUUACUUUCAAGUGUUUGUAAAUGUAUCGGCACUACUUAAAUUCACAACCGCUGCUCGUUUUAAUAUUAAAACCGCAACCGCCUUUAAAAUCAAACCAAACUUGUUCAGUAACAAUUCAAGUCGCAGCCAGCAUAAUUUUUCUUAUCUGAUUCAAUUCUCCCCGGGAUUAUUUAUCGGACAUAUUAGCGGAAAAAAAUAAAAAACGCCUCGAGCACGCGAGUCGGGGAUUCGCGGUUAACUCGCUUUUUAC